CCUACGGGUGUCAGCAGUGGGGAAUAUUGCACAAUGGGCGCAAGCCUGAUGCAGCCAUGCCGCGUGAAUGAAGAAGGCCUUCGGGUUGUAAAGUACUUUCAUCGGGGAGGAAGGGAGUAAAGUUAAUACCUUUGCUCAUUGACGUUACCCGCAACAGAAGCACCGGCUAACUCCGUGCCAGCAUCCGCGGUAAUACGGAGGUUGCAAGCGUUAAUCGGAAUUACUGGGCGUAAAGCGCACGCAGGCGGUUUGUUAAGUCAGAUGUGAAAUCCCCGGGCUCACCCUGGGAACUGCAUCUGAUACUGGCAAGCGUGCGUCUCGUAGAGGGGGGUAGAAUUCCAGGUGUAGCGGUGAAAUGCGUAGAGAUCUGGAGGAAUACCGGUGGCGAAGGCGGCCCCCUGGACGAAGACUGACGCUCAGGUGUGAAAGCGUGGGGAGCAAACAGGAUUAGAUACCCGGGUAGUC
rnacentral:rRNA from 1 species